GUUUGCACUUGUCGGGGAAGGGUGAGAACCUUCGAUUAAGGUUCGACUCGAGCGAAAGCGAGAGAACGUUGCCAACGGCAACGGCCCGAAGGGUGAGGAGCGAAGCGACGAA
rnacentral:sRNA from 1 species